UACAGAGGUCUCAAGCGUUGUUCGGAUUCACUGGGCGUAAAGGGUGCGUAGGCGGUCGGGCAAGUCUGAUGUGAAAUCUCACAGCUUAACUGUGAAACUGCAUUGGAUACUAUCCGGCUCGAGGAAUGGAGGGGAGACUGGAAUACUUGGUGUAGCAGUGAAAUGCGUAGAUAUUGGGAGGAACACCAGUGGCGAAGGCGGCUCACUGGACCGGAACUGACGCUGAGGCGCGAAAGCGUGGGGAGCAAACGGG
rnacentral:rRNA from 1 species